rnacentral:rRNA from 1 species
CCUACGGGCGGCAGCAGUGAGGAAUAUUGGUCAAUGGGCGCGAGCCUGAACCAGCCAAGUAGCGUGAAGGAUGACGGCCCUACGGGUUGUAAACUUCUUUUAUAAAGGAAUAAAGUGAGGCACGUGUGCCUGUUUGUAUGUACUUUAUGAAUAAGGAUCGGCUAACUCCGUGCCAGCAGCCGCGGUAAUACGGAGGAUCCGAGCGUUAUCCGGAUUUAUUGGGUUUAAAGGGAGCGUAGAUGGGUUGUUAAGUCAGUUGGGCAAGUUUGCGUCUCAACCGUAAAAUUGCAAGUGAUACUGGCAGCCUUGAGUACAGUUGCGGUAGGCGGAAUUCGUGUUGUAGCGG